rnacentral:rRNA from 1 species
UGAGUAACACGUGGGUGACCUGCCUUCAGCUCUGGGAUAAGCUUGGGAAACUGGGUCUAAUACCGGAUAUGACUGUCUGCCGCAUGGUGGGUGGUGGAAAGUUCUUGGGCUUUGGUCUGGGUUCGGCUGGGGAUGGGCCUGCGGCCUAUCAGCUUGUUGGUGGGGUGAUGGCCUACCAAGGCGACGACGGGUAGCCGGCCUGAGAGGGCGACCGGCCACACUGGGACUGAGACACGGCCCAGACUCCUACGGGAGGCAGCAGUGGGGAAUAUUGCGCAAUGGGCGGAAGCCUGACGCAGCGACGCCGCGUGGGGGAUGACGGCCUUCGGGUUGUAAACCUCUUUCGCCAUCGACGAAGGUUCUGUGGUUGUGAGGCUGCAGGGUUGACGGUAGGUGGAGAAGAAGCACCGGCCAACUACGUGCCAGCAGCCGCGGUAAUACGUAGGGUGCGAGCGUUGUCCGGAAUUAUUGGGCGUAAAGAGCUCGUAGGCGGUGUGUCGCGUCGGCCGUGAAAACCUGCAGCUUAACUGUGGGCGUGCGGUCGAUACGGGCAUCACUGGAGUUCGGCAGGGGAGACUGGAAUUCCUGGUGUAGCGGUGAAAUGCGCAGAUAUCAGGAGGAACACCGGUGGCGAAGGCGGGUCUCUGGGCCGAUACUGACGCUGAGGAGCGAAAGCGUGGGGAGCGAACAGGAUUAGAUACCCUGGUAGUCCACGCCGUAAACGGUGGGCGCUAGGUGUGGGGGCCAUUCCACGGUCUCUGUGCCGCAGCUAACGCAUUAAGCGCCCCGC